rnacentral:rRNA from 1 species
UACGUAGGUGGCAAGCGUUGUCUGGAAUUAUUGGGCGUAAAGCGCGCGCAGGCGGUCCUUUAAGUCUGAUGUGAAAGCCCACGGCUCAACCGUGGAGGGUCAUUGGAAACUGGGGGACUUGAGUACAGAAGAGAAGAGUGGAAUUCCACGUGUAGCGGUGAAAUGCGUAGAGAUGUGGAGGAACACCAGUGGAAGGCGACUCUUUGGUCUGUAACUGACGCUGAGGCGCGAAAGCGUGGGGAGCAAACAGG